rnacentral:rRNA from 1 species
GACGGAGGAUGCAAGUGUUAUCCGGAAUCACUGGGCGUAAAGCGUCUGUAGGUGGUCAAAUAAGUCAACUGUUAAAUCUUGAGGCUCAACCUCAAAACCGCAGUCGAAACUAUUAGACUAGAGUAUAGUAGGGGUAAAGGGAAUUUCCAGUGGAGCGGUGAAAUGCGUAGAGAUUGGAAAGAACACCAAUGGCGAAGGCACUUUACUGGGCUAUGACUAACACUCAGAGACGAAAGCUAGGGUAGCAAAUGGG